rnacentral:lncRNA from 1 species
CGUGCUCACUUGCGUACGUGGGAACCGAAAGGGGUGACGACCUGGGCGAUAGAUGUAUGCUGGUUUAUGCACUGCACCAAAUGCGUUAAGGAUGAUGGGAAACGUGAUGGUUUGUAUCUAAGGAUGAGGUAACUUUUUGCUGCUACCUACCUGCCUGCCUACCUGCCUACCUAACUACCUACCUAACUACCUACCUACCUGCCUACCUACCUACCUACCUACCUACCUACCUACCUGCCUACCUACCUACCUACCUACCUGCCUACCUACCUACCUACCUACCUACCUACCUACCUACCUACCUACCUACCUACCUACCCACCUGCCUACCUACCUACUAUUCACCUGCUGCUGUCUAUCAAAGCAUGGGCGCGUGUGCAUUUUCCUGCUCACAUGCAUUGUUAUAUUUGGCGUGUGAGUGCUUGCUUGGGGACUGCAAUUCCCACUACUGAU